rnacentral:lncRNA from 1 species
GUUCUUCCUUCUCACUUCAAUCAAACACCCAUAAUUAAUACUAUUGGUUUAUAUAUUAAAUUGCUACUUAAGCAAGAAAUUACUUCUUUAGUAAUUAUUACUCUAUAGUGAAUACAAAAUUUAUAUAAACAUAUAUGUUACAAUAUAGUUCAACUACGUAAAUAUAUAUAUAAUCUUUUCUAAGAAUAAUCAUUCAAAUAUAAAAUAAUUUUCAAUAACUUUUAUUAAAAACUGUUUUAGCAGCUAGAUAUUUGGAAAUAUUUUUGUUGAAGAAGUUUUAAAACACAACUUUGAACAGGUACUUACAAGGAACAACUUUGGUUCUUUUUCUAAAUAUUUAAAAAAACAAAAGUAUCUUACGAUUCCUUUUUAAAUCAUAUUUCAGUUAAUGUUAUAGAUACGAUUGUCCAAACCUGAGGAGGUUCUGGAGUGAAACAAUGGCCUUCUCGUAACUUCCCUUUGCCAUGUCUUCUCUCUCUGCAAUUCCCCAUUUUUAGUCAGAAUUUAGCAAACAUAAAACACACUGUUUUUUUUCUCUACUGUGUAUGGUGAAAUCAAAAGGUAGAGAUAGACAUUAAGUGUGUGUUUGGUACGAAGGAAAAUGUUUUCUCUCAUUUUAAUAAGGAAAAUAUUUUUCUCCAAUUGGAGGAAAAUGAGUUGAUGAGAAAAAUAUUUCCCAAAACAUUCAAGACAACUCAAAAAUGAAAGUUAGAUAAAGAAGUCUUAGUAAGAACUAGCAUUAGACUUCUUCCCACCAAAUAUGGAAAAAUUGGAAAAUAUUUUUCUUCGUACCAAACACACCCUAAAAAUUAAGAGUGGCGUUAAAAUAUGUCCAUUUUGGUUGAUUUUCAAGUUUAUUUAGAGCUACUACAUGCACAUGAAAGGAUUGAACUGUACACUUUAGAAGAAAAGCGCUUCCUUUUUCUCUCAUUUUUAUUCUCUAGGUUCUUCGUGUGUAUUCAAGACAGCAGCUAACUUAAUUUUGGAGAUUAAUGAUAACAAGGUAAAAGGUGAAUUAAUGAUAAGAGAGUCACGUAUGCUAGCAAUGCAUUGUUAACAAGAUUUACUUGGCUAGAUAAAAAGGCAUUAAAAUCAUCUAAUUAAGUUAUAUGCACCAAAAAUAUAAUUAUGUAAGUAUUUAAAUUUUUGCAUAGAACUGAUUAUACUCGGAAGAAAUAGGUUGUAAAGUCUAGUAGCCUAUAAUUGCAAUCAGGCUAUAUUUAAUUUCUCAAUGUAAAUAAUUUUUAUACUAUAUCAUGUCGAUCAAAGAAUAUCUAUAGGUAAACUUAAAAUGUGAAAUUUGUAACCUUAAAAAUAAAAUAAGUUAACAUGCUACAACAUGUAAAAAUGACUUGAUGAUGUAAAAGUUCAACGGUAUACACAAUGUAAACUCUAAUAUACACUAUAUAUACCGAUCAAGACAAAAAGAAAGAAGGUGAAUUAAGAAAAGGUGAGAAGGUAUAUAUAUAUAUAUAUAUAUAUAUAUAUAUAUAUAUACNNN